rnacentral:rRNA from 1 species
UCUUAGUGGCGGACGGUGAGUAACGCGUGGGUAACCUGCCUUAUACAGGGGGAUAACACUUAGAAAUAGGUGCUAAUACCGCAUAAGCGCACGGGGCUGCAUGGCCCAGUGUGAAAAACUCCGGUGGUAUAAGAUGGACCCGCGUCUGAUUAGCUUGUUGGCGGGGUAACGGCCCACCAAAGCGACGAUCAGUAGCCGGCCUGAGAGGGUGGACGGCCACAUUGGGACUGAGACACGGCCCAAACUCCUACGGGAGGCAGCAG